CUCUUCUACAUGAGUGACGCUUUUAUCAAAGAAAGAUGACAAUUAACAAUAUUUGUUUGAGCCAUUUUGUUAUCCAAUACUCAUAAACUCACUAAAGUUGCCUUUUCCCUGAGAUAGGAUGGUCUCAGAAACUCUGAAUAUCAUCUUUUAAGAAAUAAUACACCGAUAGUAAUUAGCAAAUGUACCCACUGUCAUCAUAUUUUACGUUAUAAUUUACGGAAGAGUUCGACAAAGGGAAAUAACUCUUGGGGAACUCGGAACUUCCGUAUUGAUCCUACAUGUACGUGUGUUUAAUACUUGCAUACUGUUCUUACUGAAAUAUAAUUAUACUGAUUUGAUUACAAUUGCAAUUUUAUAUGUAUUCACAAAACACUAUCAUUAUCUGCUAUCCCAGAAACUGAUGUGUGAAGCAGUUGGGUUAUUUUAUUUAUCAUGUUGUUAAUCUAAAUCUUGUCUGUAAUCAGUAUUUCAUAUAUAAUUAUAGAUAUGUGCAGUGCAGAAGUGUGAACUCUGUCAGUAUUACCAGUAGUACUUCUAAAUGAUUGUUAUUUAUUUUCAUUGUUAUAAUUAAUUGCCUGUUAACAUGUACAUGCCCCCCGAUGGCCCUUGAUUGGUGAAUAAACUAAUAUAUAUACAUGUAUAAUGACAUGACCAUAUCAUCAUAAGAAUAUUAUCACAUCAUAUAAUAACAUGACCAUAUCAUAUGAUAAUAUUGCCACAUCACAUAUGUUGGGCGUCCCUCACUAGAAAUAUGAUUACAAUUUGUAAAACAAACAACGUAUCUAUAUCUCUGUGCUAUUUAAUUACUCACAAAUGUGUCAAUAUAUUUUUCUGCAAUCAUCAUACAGUUGUAUAAAUUGCUUAUUAAUAUAUAUGUGUAGGAUGCAAUAGGCAAAUAUUAUUGUAUUAGAUGGAGUUUAGUCGGGGCCCAAUUUCCGGUAAGUGCCAUUUUCUCUUUAGUAUAUGAUAUUGUUUGUUAUAGAUUAGGACUGGGAAAUAAACAUUGUAUAUAUUUUUUAAACAUGAAGGCACCACAUCGUGUCAUUACAGGACUACAUCAUAUAAAGAUGUUACUACACAACGUAUUGACUGUACCUUAUCAUAUGAUAAACAAACUAAUCUUAGGGUAAUGAAAUAUGACAAACUUAUGAUCAUCAUAGAAAGUUCAAGAGACGAUUAAUUAUAGUUACAUGUACGAAAUAGUGACACGACCCCCUUUGAUUUGGAGUUUGGUAGUCUGCCAAAUUAUUACCAUACGAACUUACAGAUUGCAGGAAUUUAGAAAAUAGCACCAUUCUCACGGAAAGCAUCCUUCGCCACGCAGGUGACCAGGACCCAUGCAGUCUGUGAUUACACUUUAGAUGUGAUGAGCAUUCGAGUUCCUGAAAAUGGACUAUACCGUAACAUUCCUCCAAGAACUGGAGAUACAGUCACAAGUCCUUUCUCUUUUCUUUGUUUAAUCUAUCAAAUAUGACGGAAUGACCGGCUCCCACCGUGGGUGGCUUUGACAUGUGCCUAACACGACUUCAAAACUAAAUAAAAUAGCUUUUUAAAAAUUA